UGGGGAAUAUUGGACAAUGGGGGAAACCCUGAUCCAGCAAUGCCGCGUGUGUGAAGAAGGCCUUAGGGUUGUAAAGCACUUUUAGUCGUGAGGAAAGUAAUCGGGUUAAUACCCUGGUUAUUUGACGUUAACUUCAGAAAAAGCACCGGCUAACUCUGUGCCAGCAGCCGCGGUAAUACAGAGGGUGCAAGCGUUAAUCGGAAUUAUUGGGCGUAAAGCGCGCGUAGGUGGAUUGAUAAGUUGGAUGUGAAAUCCCUGGGCUUAACCUGGGAAUUGCAUUCAAUACUGUCAUUCUAGAGUACAGUAGAGGGAAGUGGAAUUUCCGGUGUAGCGGUGAAAUGCGUAGAUAUCGGAAAGAACAUCAGUGGCGAAGGCGACUUCCUGGACUGAUACUGACACUGAGGUGCGAAAGCGUGGGGAGCAAACAGG
rnacentral:rRNA from 1 species